rnacentral:rRNA from 1 species
UACGUAGGGGGCAAGCGUUGUCCGGAAUCAUUGGGCGUAAAGAGCGUGUAGGCGGCCCGGUAAGUCCGCUGUGAAAGUCCAGGGCUCAACCCUGGGAUGCCGGUGGAUACUGUCGGGCUCGAGUCCGGAAGAGGAGUGUGGAAUUCCUGGUGUAGCGGUGAAAUGCGUAGAUAUCAGGAGGAACACCGGCGGCGAAGGCGGCAACCUGGCCCAUUACUGACGCUCAGUCUCGAAAGCGUGGGUAGCAAACAGG